CGCAGCUCACCACCCUCAAGUCUGUGGGGGCUCUGCGUCACCACGACCCGCCAUCUGUGCUUCUCUGACGUGGACAAUGUGGAGGCCUCCUUCAGUAAAAGCGGCAGCCCCAACGAGCUGAGAGCACCAGCGAGGCUGCUGUCCGACGCCCUGGUCCACUUCCACGGCGUCCACGAGGAGGUCUGCCUCACCGCCUCGCCCACUCACGUCACCCUUAGCAACGUGCCCCGACGAGGGCAUCGGUGGGUCGCCACGGCAACGCCCGCCUCACCGCCUCGCCCACUCACGUCACCCUUAGCAACGUGCCCGACGAGAGCGUCGGUGGGUCGCCACGGCAACGCCCGCCUCACCGCCUCGCCCACUCACGUCUCCCUU